rnacentral:rRNA from 1 species
UGCCAGCCGCCGCGGUAAGACAGAGGGUGCUAGCGUUGUUCGGAAUUAUUGGGCGUAAAGCGCACGUAGGCGGUUCUGCAAGUCGGAUGUGAAAGCCCAGGGCUCAACCCUGGAAGUGCAUUCGAAACUGCCGAACUAGAGUCCCGGAGAGGGUGGUGGAAUUCAUGGUGUAGAGGUGAAAUUCGUAGAUAUCAUGAGGAACACCGGUGGCGAAGGCGGCUACCUGGACGGAGACUGACGCUGAGGUGCGAAAGCGUGGGUAGCAAACAGGAUUAGAUA